AGCCGAAAACAAAUAGUAGAAGAAAGAAAAAA
rnacentral:sRNA from 1 species